UUGGAGCCCCCAACUGCUACUAAAGGGGGUCACGGGGGGCUUCCGGGGAAUUAGCCGUUAGACCCGAUACUAAUGCUCACAUUAGUACUGGGUCAAGAACCAACUGGUACUAAGUCUCGGGACGAAUGUCGAGUUUUCCAGCAAUGACUUAUUAUAUGUUUGAAGUUUUAGAAGCAUUUUUGUAAUGAUUAAUGACAUUAUGUAUUUUCUUUGAAUGUAUCAACUCAUGUCCCAUUGGCUAAACUUGCAUUGAUUAGAGCCUGCAUUUUAGAGAAGCUAGCUUUUGAGAUACCAAAAAUCAAGUGCAUGAUACGAAGGAUCUUCCAAAAGCAAUUGCAACCCGCGAAGGAUCUUCCAAAAGCAAUUGCAACCCACAAAGAUCAAAGAGACCUUUCCAAUUUCUUCCCAAUUAGAUCACUUCACAAGAUAAUCAAUAGACCCACAUAGACAUCUUGAAAAACACCAUAUUCAUUAGAACCAUCACUCCAACACUACUAUAGAUAGGGCUACAUGAUGCGCAUAGUAGGACCAUUCCAUCAUCCCUGUUCCCCUUGAUUUUCUUUGCAUUUUCUUGGUACCCCUGCAAAACAAUGUGCAACAUCCAGAACACUUGAAAUUUGUGAGUUAUAAAUAAAAUCAUUGCUAUGAGUAGGAACUUCCAAAGUUUGGAUGGAGUUUGGAGUUGGUGUUUAGCAGACUCCAACAUGCAUGCGGACACUGUCUAGUUUUGGAAACUUCUUACCAUUGCUGCAAUCAUGGCCCAAACUUUAUAUACAUUGAUGUUUUACCAUGACCUUUCAUAUCUGCUACAGUGCAAUCGAUCUCACCCCGGUUAGUUACUUGGAAACAUCGGGUCUCAAGUUAUAUCCACUUCUACCGCCAUAUAUAAAUUGUAGAAAAAAACAGUCCUUAUUCUUCAUUAACAAUUACCUUAGUUCCUGUAAAAAAACAAUUAUCUUAGUUCCCGUAAAAAAACAAUUACCAUAGUUGAGUGUUUAAGAUUCGAUCAGUCCUUAUUCUUCAUUAACAAUUACCUUAGUUCCUUAAAAAAACAAUUAUCUUAGUUCCC
rnacentral:lncRNA from 1 species